UGGCUCACUUUGGUAGCAUAAAUACUAAAAUUGGAAUGAUACAGAGAAGAUUAGCACAACCACUAUACAAGGAUGACAUCCACGUUUGUGGAGCAAUCUAUAUUUUU
rfam:Otolemur garnettii contig137017, whole genome shotgun sequence.